GAACGCACCUUGCGCCCUUUGGCCAUUCCGAAGGGCAUGCCUGUUUGAGUAUCAUGAACACCUCAACUCUCAUGGCUUGCCAUGAUGAGCUUGGACUUUGGGGGUCUUGUCGGCCUGCGGUCGGCUCCUCUCAAAUGAAUCAGCUUGCCGGUUUUUGGUGGGCAUCACAGGUGUGAUAACUAUCUACGCUUGUGGUUUUCCACCAGGGUAACCUUCAGCAGUGGAGGUUCACUGGAGCUUACAAAUGUCUCUCCUCUGUGAGGACAGCCCUUUGAAUGUUUGAUCUCAAAUCAGGUAGGACUACCCGCUGAACUUAAG
rnacentral:misc_RNA from 1 species